rnacentral:tRNA from 1 species
GCCGACGUAGCUCAGUUGGCUAGAGCGCCUGCCUGUGGAGCAGGAGGUCCCUGGUUCGAGCCCAGGCGUCGGUA